rnacentral:rRNA from 1 species
GACAGAGGCCCCGAGCGUUAGGCGGAAUCACUGGGCUUAAAGCGUGUGUAGGCGGAUCGUUAAGUGUCUUGUGAAAUCCCACGGCUCACCCGUGGAACUGCUGGGCAUACUGGCGAUCUUGGGCCAUUCAGGGGCGACUGGAACAAGCGGUGGAGCGGUGAAAUGCGUAGAUAUCGCUUGGAACGCCAAGGUAGAAAACAGGUCGCUGGGGAUGUGCCGACGCUGAGACACGAAAGCCAGGGGAGCAAACGGG